CCAGCAGCCGCGGUAAUUCCAGCUCCAAUAGCGUAUAUUAAAGUUGUUGCAGUUAAAAAGCUCGUAGUUUGACUUUUGGGGGUGCGCCCUGUGGUCCGCCGAAGGGCGAGCACUGCGGGGGGUUGCGCCUCCGACCUCUCGAGGACUGCGUGUGCCCUUGAUUGGGGGUGCGUGGGAGUCGGGAUCUUUACUUUGAAAAAAUUAGAGUGUUCAAAGCAGGCGUUGUUUGCUUGGAUAGAUUAGCAUGGAAUAAUGGAAUAGGACUUUGGUUCUAUUUUGUUGGUUUUGUGGGGCCGAAGUAAUGAUUAAUAGGGCCAGUUGGGGGCAUUAGUAUUUAAUUGUCAGAGGUGAAAUUCUUGGAUUUAUGAAAGACUAACUUCUGCGAAAGCAUUUGCCAAGGAUGUUUUCAUUAAUCAAGAACGAAAGU
rnacentral:rRNA from 1 species